rnacentral:rRNA from 1 species
UACAGAGGGGGCAAGCGUUAUUCGGAAUUACUGGGCGUAAAGGGCUUGUAGGUGGCCAACUAAGUCAGACGUGAAAUCCCUCGGCUUAACCGGGGAACUGCGUCUGAUACUGGAUGGCUUGAGUGUGGGAGAGGGAUGCGGAAUUCCAGGUGUAGCGGUGGAAUGCGUAGAGAUCCGGAAGAACACCGGUGGCGAAGGCGGCUCGCUGGGCAGUGGCUGACGCUGAGGCGCGACAGCGUGGGGAGCAAACAGG